AAGCAAUUAACUUAAUUGGUAGAGUAUCUAGUUUACACCUAGAAAGUUAAUGGUUCGAGUCCGUUAUUGCUUA
rnacentral:tRNA from 1 species